rnacentral:misc_RNA from 1 species
GCAGAGGGCAAGUGCUAAGG